GUUACUAUUGUUAUUAUACUCAUCAUUUAAGAAACUUCAAAUUGACUUAGUUGAAUAGUCCAUUUAACUCAACCAUCUCUCAAGGUGAUGCUAGGGCUAGUCUAUAAGAUUCUGCUCUUGAAAGAUUAGCAUCUGUGUAAAUAGAACCUGAGAAAUUACACCCCAGUAUAUAUUAUGUAGAAAUAAAACUUAUAGCUACUAUUUAUGUAAACAUUGAGGAAUUUUAUUAGAUGACCUGAGUUUUCACUAUUAGGAAGAAAAAGGUAGAAGAAAAGGGUAGAGGCACUUUAAGUGGGGGAAAGAUUCAGUAGGAAGCCCUAAACACAGAACUCUAUGUGCUGUGGACCACAAACAGGCCUGACUGCUUAAAACAAAGAAGUUGGUCCAGAAUGUACUAGGAUGUGGGCAAUUAGGUAAUGAGGUGAUGAAUGGAAAAUAAAUAAAAAGUUAUAGCUGAUAAUAAAAGUAUGUGCAAAGGUGUAUGAUUUUGUGCAUUGAUUUACCAUUUCUCCCUGCUGUUUUCAUCUACUGGGGAACUCAAAGAUGAGCAACCUUCUUUCUGGAGGUGGCUAUGACAGACCAUUUUGCAAGCACUUGAAGUCUUUAAGGAAAUACAAACAUCUUGUGACCUGGAACAGUCAUGUGGGAUUCUGACUCACACUGGGAAUCUGGGUGAUGCUGCUGCUCAGGACCAGAUCAUAAACAUCUGACUGCCCUACUUGAUGGGUCCUUGGCAGGCUAAGUUGUCAACAGGCCCCAUGGAGAAAAAAUCAUAUUCAUCAGAAAACGUCUAAGGUCUACAUGGAAAAGGAAGUCUUUUGGAAAGAAAACAAGGUAGCUGCUUUCCUGUGGCCCCUGAAAUGUGACUCCUUCAUAAAAUCAAAAUUUAUGAUUAUUCAAAUGUUGGGGACUGUGAAAAGAGAGGAAGAAAGAGAGAAAAUUAAUAUUGCAGCUGUUCUUCUGAUUAAUGAGAGAUAAUUGCUCAUGAAAAGUCACCCCUGUGGCAUUUUGUUGUCUCCUGGAUCUUUGUUCUUUUCCACUAUUAUUGAGGACUUUCUUGAAGACUAAGCGGUUCUUUUCAAUUUUGGGGUAUUCAGAAAGGGUUGCCUGGUUACAGAGAAUGGGGAAAUCUCGGGCUAUAUCGGGUAAGAUGUGCCACAGACAGCAAUAUCACAAUGCCACUCGGAGAAAAGGAUGGAUACAAGUUAACGAUGCGCUUUCAAUAAAACAUUCAUAGACUUGUUCA
ensembl:lncRNA